AUUAUUAAAUUAAAAUAGAAAUAAAUAAAUCUUAAAAAAAUUAUUAGAUUUAAUAAUAUUAUUUCAGAAGUUUUUUAAAAACUGAAAAUAAUAUAUAUAUUUAUUUAUAAAAAAGAUAUAUUUUUUAAUAUUUAUUUUAAAUAAUUAUUUGAUAGUCUAUAGAAAAUAAUAAUUACAAGUUUAAAAAUAUAUUUAUAUAUUUAUAUUAAUUAACAUUAUGGGUAUUUAAUAAUA
rnacentral:tRNA from 1 species